AUACUUUUUAGGACACCAACUGACUUAAAAAUAUAAAAUGUUCAACAGUUUUAGUGCAUUGAAGAAUGACUGAGGUUUCAUUUAAGUAAGUCACUAAAAUAAGGUUCCUAAAUGAAGUAAUCAACUCCUUAUCAGUGUUUAGUGUACAGCCAGUUUUAAAAUGCUGACUCAGCUAUUUCACUGACCAUUAAAAAGACAAGAUAAUUCAUUUAGCUUAGUUGCAAACAUGAAAAACACAACAAAUAAGUCUGACAGACAUAAAAUGCAUUUUUUUCCAACAAGGUAAUAUAUCUGAUAUUCACAGGUAUAGUGUGUAUGUGUGUUUUUAAUGAUCAUUUUGAAAAAUUGAAAUUAGCAAAACAAUUUCACUUAAAUCAACAUUUGUUGUGCCAAAUUGUUUAAAAUUAUCUAAUAUUUUAAAAGAAACAUGCAAAAGCAACUUAUGUGCAAAAAAACAUAACAUACAGAAAUAUAUUUUGUAUGAACUUGAAUUAAAAACCAGGCAAAAAGCGUCAACUCAACUGCAUGACAUAAUAUUGUAUGCUUUAGGUCAGAUAUACCACAAAAACCAAGACUACUCAAUGAGGUUUCUUGGCAAGCAAUGUGUAUAGACUACAAUAAGCUCCAGCAUAAAAACAUAUACACCGUAUUUUCCGCACUAUAAGGCGCACCUAAAACCCUUCCAUUUUCUCAAAAGCCGACAGUGCGCCUUAUAUAUGGACCGAUAUUGAACCACAACAGGUCUCGCAACUAGGCAGCCGCUGACUUCAUUUUCCCCCGUAGAAGAAGAAGCGCGCGGUGCAUGCUGGGAUAUAUGACUGCGCGAAGCGUGCCGUUUCAUUUCCAUUUGUGUGUUUGUGUAAAGACCCCAAAAUGGCUCCUAUUAAGAGACACACUUACGACG